AUACGGAGGAUGCAAGCGUUAUCCGGAUUUAUUGGGUUUAAAGGGUGCGUAGGCGGGACUGUAAGUCAGGGGUGAAAUACUGCAGCUUAACUGUAGCAUUGCCUUUGAAACUGCCGUUCUUGAGUACAGUUGAGGUAGGCGGAAUGUGGUGUGUAGCGGUGAAAUGCAUAGAUAUAACACAGAACGCCGAUUGCGAAGGCAGCUUACUAAGCUGUUACUGACGCUGAGGCACGAAAGCGUGGGGAUCAAACAGGAUUAGAUACCCUGGUAGUCCACGCUGUAAACGAUGAUUACUGGUUGUUAGCGAUAUAUAGCUAGUGACUGAGCGAAAGCAUUAAGUAAUCCACCUGGGGAGUACGUCGGCAACGAUGAAACUCAAAGGAAUUGACGGGG
rnacentral:rRNA from 1 species